rnacentral:rRNA from 1 species
CAGUCGCCACGGGAAUACGUAGGGUGCGAGCGUUAAUCGGAAUUACUGGGCGUAAAGCGUGCGCAGGCGGUUGUGUAAGACAGGUGUGAAAUCCCCGGGCUUAACCUGGGAACUACGCUUGUGACUGCACAGCUAGAGUAUGGCAGAGGGGGGUGGAAUUCCACGUGUAGCAGUGAAAUGCGUAGAGAUGUGGAGGAACACCGAUGGCGAAGGCAGCCCCCUGGGCCAAUACUGACGCUCAUGCACGAAAGCGUGGGGAGCAAACAGGAUUAGAUACCCCCGUAGUCCCUGUCUCUUAUAC